GGCUUAACACAUGCAAGUCGAGGGGCAGCAUUUCAGUUUGCUUGCAAACUGGAGAUGGCGACCGGCGCACGGGUGAGUAACACGUAUCCAACCUGCCGAUAACUCGGGGAUAGCCUUUCGAAAGAAAGAUUAAUACCCGAUGGUAUAAUCAGACCGCAUGGUCUUGUUAUUAAAGAAUUUCGGUUAUCGAUGGGGAUGCGUUCCAUUAGGCAGUUGGUGAGGUAACGGCUCACCAAACCUUCGAUGGAUAGGGGUUCUGAGAGGAAGGUCCCCCACAUUGGAACUGAGACACGGUCCAAACUCCUACGGGAGGCAGCAGUGAGGAAUAUUGGUCAAUGGGCGCAGGCCUGAACCAGCCAAGUAGCGUGAAGGAUGACUGCCCUAUGGGUUGUAAACUUCUUUUAUAUGGGAAUAAAGUUUUCCACGUGUGGAAUUUUGUAUGUACCAUAUGAAUAAGGAUCGGCUAACUCCGUGCCAGCAGCCGCGGUAAUACGGAGGAUCCGAGCGUUAUCCGGAUUUAUUGGGUUUAAAGGGAGCGUAGGUGGACAGUUAAGUCAGUUGUGAAAGUUUGCGGCUCAACCGUAAAAUUGCAGUUGAUACUGGCUGUCUUGAGUACAGUAGAGGUGGGCGGAAUUCGUGGUGUAGCGGUGAAAUGCUUAGAUAUCACGAAGAACUCCGAUUGCGAAGGCAGCUCACUGGACUGCAACUGACACUGAUGCUCGAAAGUGUGGGUAUCAAACAGGAUUAGAUACCCUGGUAGUCCACACAGUAAACGAUGAAUACUCGCUGUUUGCGAUAUACAGUAAGCGGCCAAGCGAAAGCAUUAAGUAUUCCACCUGGGGAGUACGCCGGCAACGGUGAAACUCAAAGGAAUUGACGGGGGCCCGCACAAGCGGAGGAACAUGUGGUUUAAUUCGAUGAUACGCGAGGAACCUUACCCGGGCUUAAAUUGCAUUUGAAUAUAUUGGAAACAGUAUAGCCGUAAGGCAAAUGUGAAGGUGCUGCAUGGUUGUCGUCAGCUCGUGCCGUGAGGUGUCGGCUUAAGUGCCAUAACGAGCGCAACCCUUAUCUUUAGUUACUAACAGGUCAUGCUGAGGACUCUAGAGAGACUGCCGUCGUAAGAUGUGAGGAAGGUGGGGAUGACGUCAAAUCAGCACGGCCCUUACGUCCGGGGCUACACACGUGUUACAAUGGGGGGUACAGAAGGCAGCUACCUGGUGACAGGAUGCUAAUCCCAAAAGCCUCUCUCAGUUCGGAUCGAAGUCUGCAACCCGACUUCGUGAAGCUGGAUUCGCUAGUAAUCGCGCAUCAGCCAUGGCGCGGUGAAUACGUUCCCGGGCCUUGUACACACCGCCCGUCAAGCCAUGAAAGCCGGGGGUACCUGAAGUACGUAACCGCAAGGAGCGUCCUAGGGUAAAACUGGUAAUUGGGGCUAAGU
rnacentral:rRNA from 1 species